rnacentral:rRNA from 1 species
CCUACGGGUGGCAGCAGUAGGGAAUCUUCCACAAUGGGCGAAAGCCUGAUGGAGCAACGCCGCGUGGGUGAAGAAGGUCUUCGGAUCGUAAAACCCUGUUGUUAGAGAAGAAAGUGCGUGAGAGUAACUGUUCACGUUUCGACGGUAUCUAACCAGAAAGCCCCGGCUAACUACGUGCCAGCAGCCGCGGUAAUACGUAGGUGGCAAGCGUUAUCCGGAUUUAUUGGGCGUAAAGGGAACGCAGGCGGUCUUUUACGUCUGAGGUGAAAGCCGUGGGCUUAACCGGAGUAGGGCAUUGGAAACUGGGAGACGUGAGUGCAGAAGAGGAGAGUGGAACUCCAUGUGUAGCGGUGAAAUGCGUAGAUAUAUGGAAGAACACCAGUGGCGAAGGCGGCUCUCUGGUCUGUAACUGACGCUGAGGUUCGAAAGCGUGGGUAGCAAACAGGAUUAGAUACCCUAGUAGUC